rnacentral:rRNA from 1 species
CCUACGGGUGGCAGCAGUGGGGAAUAUUGGACAAUGGGGGCAACCCUGAUCCAGCGACGCCGCGUGAGUGAAGAAGGAUCUUCGUGUGUAAAGCUCUUUCAGUAGGGAAGAAGAAUUGACGGUACCUGCGUCAGAAGCCCCGGCUAACUACGUGCCAGCAGCCGCGGUCAUACGUAGGGGGCAAGCGUUCUCCGGACUUACUGGGUGUAAAGGGAGCGUAGGCGGGAUGCUAAGUCAGCUGUGAAAGCUACGGGCUUAACUUGUAGACUGCAGUUGAAACUGGUAGUCUUGAGUGAAGUAGAGGUAGGCGGAAUUCGGGGUGUAGCGGUGAAAUGCGUAGAUAUCGGGAGGAACACCGGUGGCGAAGGCGGGCAACUGGACUGUAACUGACGCUGAGGCUCGAAAGUGUGGGGAGCAAACAGGAUUAGAUACCCUAGUAGUC